rnacentral:lncRNA from 1 species
GAUAUAUUACCAACAAACUAACAAUCAAUUAGUAAACUUAUUAGAAAAAUAAAUAAUAAUACUAACGUAUUUAAAAUUUAUUACCAACAAAGGUUGUGGUGGAGUGGUAAUUACUGCAUCAUACCUAACCAAGAGGUCUCAGGUUCGAUUCCCCUUGGGUACGGAGUCGACUUUGUUAGGGAGCGCUUUACUCUCCAAUGUGGGACUUCCCGGCGUGAAUCCGGAUUUAGUCGGGCUCUGGUGUGGGGUAUCGGACAUCGGAUGGGAAAUCAAAAAAAAUAAAAGUAUUUAAAAUUUAUUGGUAAAUUACCAACAAAAAUUUACUAUAAUUAUCAACGUAUUACCAACGGAAUCGAAUAAUGAAGAAAAAAAUUUACUAACUCCUUUUCAAUUCGUUAGUAAAGGUACUAACGAUAUACUAACCAAAAAUUAGUUGGUGAAUUUACCAACGAAAAUUUCAGGGCCAUGUUUCAAAAUUUUGUAACA